UGUGGGAACACAAUACAGAUCUGGCAUAUACUUCUACACUCCUGAACAAGAGAAAGCUGCUCUAGAAUCAAUGGAACGCCACCAGAAGUCAUUGAAUAGGAAGAUUGUGACCGAGAUUCUUCCUGCCAAGAAGUUCUACAGAGCGGAGGAAUAUCAUCAGCAAUAUCUCGAGAAAGGGGGCCGGUUUGGCUUCAAGCAAUCUGCUGCUAAAGGCUGCAACGACCCAAUCCGAUGCUACGGUUAGUUAAGUUGUUCUUAGCAGGUAAUACUGGUUUCCAGCGUCAAGAUUAUAGUAUUCUGUAUGCAAUUAUGACUAGAUUAGACAAGCUCUAUCAGACAUAAUAAGAAUCCUGAAUGUAUGUAUCUAUCUGUAAUUGGUUUGGCUUUAACAAUAAAUGAAUACGUAGUUGCAAGGAUACUUCCCCCCUCAAUCUCUUGGUCAAAAAGUCUUGGAGAAGCUACAUGA
rnacentral:misc_RNA from 1 species